rnacentral:rRNA from 1 species
UAGUCCACGCCCUAAACGAUGAACACUAGUUGUUGCGGUGCAAGUCAUCGCAGUAAUACACCUAACGGAUUAAGUGUUCCGCCUGGGGAGUACGGUCGCAAGAUUAAAACUCAAAGGAAUAGACGGGGACCCGCACAAGCGGUGGAGCAUGUGGUUUAAUUCGAAGAUACGCGAAGAACCUUACCUGGCCUUGAUAUCCUUGGAAUCCUGCAGAGAUGCGGGAGUGCUAGUUUACUAGAACCAAGUGACAGGUGCUGCACGGCUGUCGUCAGCUCGUGUCGUGAGAUGUUGGGUUAAGUCCCGCAACGAGCGCAACCCUCGUGUUUAGUUGCUAACAGUUCGGCUGGGCACUCUAAACAGACUGCCUUCGUAAGGAGGAGGAAGGUGAGGACGACGUCAAGUCAUCAUGGCCCUUAUGGCCAGGGCUACACACGUGCUACAAUGGUUAGGACAAAGAGCCGCGAUACCGCGAGGUGGAGCAAAUCUUAAAACCUAAUCUCAGUUCGGAGUUG